rnacentral:lncRNA from 1 species
CUCUCUCAUGUUUCUGCGUAUUGCCUGAUAAACACUUCAAAGUAAACCGCUCAUAAAUAUGAAAUGAAAAGCCAAGAAGUCGUUAUGCACAGCUUUGAGAUACAAAUCUCUUUAUUCCCCUCUGAAGUGGAAUUUGAUUGACAUAAUGAGUCAUAGAUCCUGUCCAGGGACACACUGCCUUAUCCCCUUUUCCUCAGGAGACAGGGAGUCUUUAAAGAAAUCCACUUCAGAACUUUCUGACAGACAGCUCCAGGAAAGUUGAACACUACACAAAUGUAUUAUUUUGUAUUAAUACCUACCUUAACAACUGUGACGUGUGUCAAAGAUUGACUCCAAAGCCCCAGCACCUCACCCUGUCACAGGAGGCCAAAUCCCAGAUGUCCAUUCUAUCUCAUUAUCACGGACACAGCGACCCAGGGCCACAAAGGAGAGCUCCCAGAGCCACCAGGGCUGUGCUCACCCCCAGGGCCCCUCGUGAGCCUGGGCAGCUCCAUCCCCAGCAGCAGGAACAGCUCCUGGUGGACCUUCAGGAGGAACAGGCGAGCCCUUGGGCAGCUCCACCUUGGAACCUGGCACUUCUUUCCUUUCCUUUUUCCCUUCCCCUUUCCUUUUUCUUUUUUGCUUUUUCCUUUUUUCCUUCCCCAUUCCUUUUUUCCUUUCCCCUUUUCUUUUUUCCUUUUCCCCUUCCUCUUUCCUUUUCCUUUUUCCUUUCCCCUUUUCCUUUUUCCUUUCCUCUUUCCUUUUCUUUUUUCCUAUUUCCUUUCCCCUUUUCCUUUUUUCCUUUCCUUUUUCUUGUUUCCUUGUUCCUUCCCCUUUCCUUUUUCCUUUCCCCUUUUCCCAUGUCUUUCCUUUCCUUUUUCUUUUUUCCUUUCCCCUUUCCUUUUCUCCUUUUUCUUUUCCCCUUUCCUUUUUCUUUUUUUCCUUUUUCCUUUCCCCUUUUCUUUCCUUUUUCCUUUCCCCUUUUCUUUCCUUUUCCCUUUCCCCUUUUCUUUCCUUUUCCCUUUCCCCUUUUCUUUCCUUUUCCCUUUCCCCUUUUCUUUCCUUUUCCCUUUCCUUUUUUCCUUUUCCCUUUCCUUUUUUCUUUCCUUUUUUCCUUUUUCUUUUUUUCCUUUCCUUUCAGAACUUCACCCCUGCCCUGCUGGCACAGCCCCUCCAGCCCAGCUCUGCCCACCCUGGGCCAGAGCNUUUCCUUUUUCCAUGUCUUUCCUUUCAUUUUUCUUUUUUCCUUUCCCCUUUCCUUUUUUCCUUUUUCUUUUCCCCUUUCCUUUUCCUUUUUUCCUUUCCCCUUUUCUUUUCUUUUCCUUUUUCUUUUUUUCCUUUUCCCUUUCCUUUUUUCCUUUUUUCUUUCCACUUUCCUUUUUCUUUUUUUCCUUU